rnacentral:rRNA from 1 species
UGAGUACGAGAUGCUACGGCAUUGAAGCAGUCUAUGUCAUACUUCCAAGAAAAGCUUGCACUGUCAUAAACAAAGAAUGCCUGUACCAUAACCGACACAGGUGGGUAGGUAGAGUAUACUAAGGGGCGCGAGAUAACUCUCUCUAAGGAACUCGGCAAAAUGACUCCGUAACUUCGGGAGAAGGAGUGCCUUAUUUUUAAGGUUGCAAUAACAAGAUCCAAGCAACUGUUUAUCAAAAACACAGGUCUCCGCUAAGUCGUAAGACGAUGUAUGGGGGCUGACGCCUGCCCAGUGCCAGAAGGUUAAAGAAGUUGGUUAGCAUUCGCGAAGCUGAUAACUGAAGCCCUGGUGAACGGCGGCCGUAACUAUAACGGUCCUAAGGUAGCGAAAUUCCUUGUCGGGUAAGUUCCGACCCGCACGAAAGGCGUAAUGAUUUGGAUACUGUCUCGGAGAGGGACUCGGUGAAAUAGACUUGUCUGUGAAGAUGCGGACUACCUGCACCUGGACAGAAAGACCCUAUGAAGCUUUACUGUAACUUGAAAUUGAAAUUGGACUUUAGUUGCGCAGGAUAGGUGGGAGGCGUUGAGAAUAUUCUUGCGGGAGUAUUGGAGCCAUCAGUGAGAUACCACUCUUCUAAUGUUAGAUUUCUAACUUUGUAUCAUUAUCUGGUCAAAGAACAGUUUCAGGCGGGCAGUUUGACUGGGGCGGUCGCCUCCUAAAGGGUAACGGAGGCGCACAAAGGUUUCCUCUGAACGAGUAGAAAUCGUAUCUAGAGUGUAAAGGCAUAAGGAAGCUUGACUGUGAGACCUACAAGUCGAGCAGGGACGAAAGUCGGUCUUAGUGAUCUGACGGUGCUGAGUGGAAAGGCCGUCACUCAACGGAUAAAAGUUACUCUAGGAUAACAGGCUGAUCUCCCCCAAGAGUUCACAUCGACGGGGAGGUUUGGCACCUCGAUGUCGGCUCAUCGCAUCCUGGGGCGGUAGUACGUCCCAAGGGUUGGGCUGUUCGCCCAUGAAAGCGGUACGCGAGCUGGGUUCAGAACGUCGUGAGACAGUUCGGUCCAUAUCCGGUGUAGGCGUUAGAAUAUUGAGAGGAGCCUUCUCUAGUACGAGAGGACCGAGAAGGACAUACCUCUAGUGUACCAGUUAUCGUGCCAACGGUAAACGCUGGGUAGCUAUGUAUGGAGUGGAUAACCGCUGAAAGCAUCUAAGUGGGAAGCCCACCUCAAGAUAAGUAC